GUCAUUGUGCCUGAACUCCAUUGUGCAACACCUAGAGGGUCCAGGUCACUGCAACUUCAGCAGAUGUAGAAGGCAGCCUUCUUGUUCCCAGCAAUCCAACAUUGAUAGCACGUGGGGAUUCUGUUCUCACCGCCACAUCCUGGAUGCUGACUAUGGAGGGACAAGUCCUUAUCCAGCCGCAAGAACUAGAACCCUCGGCACUAGCCGUCCUGUUCUGCUGUUACUACAUUUUCAAUGUGCAGAACCAGGAAGAGGCAGCCAGUACGCCGGAGUUUAUUCAGAGGUUUAUUCUUAGAUUUAACCCUGGUGGCUCCAAAUGCCAGGCUACGUCAAUGAUCAGCCGGACCUCCGGUAAGAGGGUAAACAGAAAGCUAUCCAGCCUGAAUCCACGUGUCAUGUCACUAAUCAAAGAGCUUGUGGAUUUUGAGUGGCAGAACUAUUAAAACCAUACAUGUAUACAUUAGGCCGAAUAAUAAUUAUCAAUUUGAAAAAAUCUGAAUCGGCUGUGCUCCAUAGUUCAAUAGAAACAUGUAUAUAUUUAGUCUGUUCUGUCAUCAAGCUGCUAUAACGUUGUGUUCGUGCUUUACCUUAUGUCCGUUCUGUAUUCUACAUUGAGCUUCAUUUGUUUUAAGUCUUUUCCCAUCCGAUUGACAUAUUAAAUUAACAGAGAUUUGAUAUACGAUGUUAAUAUUUAAUAAAUGCUAGAGUUUUGAAGUUUAAUGUAGUAUCUGUGUUCCAAAAUCCAUAGCAUAACACAGUGUAUUUUCCCAGUGUAUGUAAUGUUAAUGGUUAUGGCUAUUGCCGUGUAUAUUAGAUUUUCAUGUAUAUUCAUGUUAUUAACAAUGAUUAAACUAAAAGUUGAACAAACUUUUU